AACGAACGCUGGCGGCAUGCCUAACACAUGCAAGUCGAACGAUUGCCUUCGGGUGAUAGUGGCGCACGGGUGCGUAACGCGUGGGAAUCUGCCCUUAGGUUCGGAAUAACAGCUGGAAACGGCUGCUAAUACCGGAUGAUAUCGCGAGAUCAAAGAUUUAUCGCCUGAGGAUGAGCCCGCGUUGGAUUAGGUAGUUGGUGGGGUAAAGGCCUACCAAGCCGACGAUCCAUAGCUGGUCUGAGAGGAUGAUCAGCCACACUGGGACUGAGACACGGCCCAGACUCCUACGGGAGGCAGCAGUGGGGAAUAUGGGACAAUGGGCGCAAGCCUGAUCCAGCAAGGCCGCGUGAGUGAUGAAGGCCCUAGGGUUGUAAAGCUCUUUUACCCGGGAAGAUAAUGACUGUACCGGGAGAAUAAGCCCCGGCUAACUCCGG
rnacentral:rRNA from 1 species